rnacentral:rRNA from 1 species
GAGUUUGAUCAUGGCUCAGAUUGAACGCUGGCGGCAUGCCUUACACAUGCAAGUCGAACGGCAGCACGGGAGCUUGCUCCUGGUGGCGAGUGGCGAACGGGUGAGUAAUGCAUCGGAACGUAUCCUGGAGUGGGGGAUAACGUAGCGAAAGUUACGCUAAUACCGCAUAUUCUGUGAGCAGGAAAGCGGGGGACCUUCGGGCCUCGCGCUCUUGGAGCGGCCGAUGUCGGAUUAGCUAGUUGGUGAGGUAAAGGCUCACCAAGGCGACGAUCCGUAGCAGGUCUGAGAGGAUGAUCUGCCACACUGGAACUGAGACACGGUCCAGACUCCUACGGGAGGCAGGCAGUGGGGAAUUUUGGACAAUGGGGGCAACCCUGAUCCAGCCAUGCCGCGUGAAUGAAGAAGGCCUUCGGUGUAAG